UAUAUCAACCGCAUUAAAUCACUUUAUAACACAAAUAAUGUGAUGAUAAUAUAAUAAACACGUAGAUACAUGUUUUAUGCAUAUAUCAAACCAUUUUCAAUGUAGAUAGCAUUGUAUCACAAUGCAAACACUCAUAUACUUAUAUAGACAUAAUGUGAACAAAUCGAGUAAUCGAGCUUAUAUAUACUUAAUUCAUAAUUGAGCUUAUGCAUAACUCGAUUCGAUUAACUUGAAAUUUUUUUUGAUUUUUUGAAUCGAAACGAGUUUUACUCACCCCUACCAACAAGUGGUUGGUGCUCUGUAGUAACCAGGGGAAUCAGGGCAAUUUGGUGUGUGGUACCUGUUGCUGCAGUAAGGGUGACAGGAUUGGUGGUUACAGAAUCUCUCAGGGCUUUCACUAGCUACUUUAAGGUGGGGAGGACGACAGUCACAUAUAUAAGAAGGAUUCCUUUAAAAGGUAGAAUGAGAAGAAGUUUGGGUAAAUUUUAAGCUAGUGGGAGUUCCUGAGGAUGGUGAAAUGGGGUAUGAUGAGUGGGGUGGAGGAGUUGACUUGGUAAGCAAGAUUGUUGGUCUGGUUGAUUUGGUCAGCGGGAGUGCCACUUUAGGAUUUUGAAGCCAUGUUCUCUAUGCUCAUGGCACCAAUUGCUGAUAUCAUGUACAACAAGGGAG
rnacentral:lncRNA from 1 species